AAAAUAUUUGCUGGGUGUUAAUAACCUCGCAAUGUUUCUUCAAUAAUACUUUUCAUUUUCAUUUCCCACAUUCAGUAUUCACCCAAAAAAACCCUAAAACUCAUCUUCUUCACCCCGACACCACUUUUUCCCCAACAUUAAACCACAAAUCUCAGUCUUCACCCCAACAUUAAACCACCACAAAUCUCAGUCUCCUUCGCUUUUUCCCUAAAAAUCAUCUCCUUCAGUUGCUGGGUUCAAUGGAGGCACUUUGAUUACAAAACAAUGGAGGCACUUUGAGGGUCUGGCUAAACAAUAACAGAGCAAUCACAGACCUCCUACGUAAUACUCCUCCAGCCUCACCUUAAGAGACAACUAGGGUUCAUUUACUAUCAGGAUUUUUGUGAUACUACCUUCUAACAUCAAGGAACUUUCCAAACUUAGAAGACUAAACUUCACUACAAGAAAAAGGGUGAUUACUCCUCCGUAAUACUCCUCAAGCCUCACCUUAAGAGACAACUAGGGUUCAUUUACUAUCAGGAUUUUUGCAGUAUCUGUGGCUGCUGAUUUGGUUUCUGUCAAGCAAGAAAUUCAGAAUUAAAUUAGUCCUAAGGGUUUACUUUUCUGUUAUUAACAAAUGAAAAUGAGGAGAGUGGCUGUGGGUUUUAGCAUUUAAUGAACUAAGCCACUGUUGCGCACUUGUUGGACAGCAUUUGGUGAGGAAGCUAAUUGUCUUAUUAGGGAGAGCUUCGAUCAUCAUUUUCAUUCUUGCCCUCACCGUUUUUGUGAGUGGAACAUCAAUAGGUAAGUGUUAUUAAUUUGUUUGAUUUGCUUUAUUUGUUAUCUAUGAGUGAAGUCUUUGAUGGUUUUCUCUAUGGGAAUGAAUAUAGAUUGUUGUUUA